rnacentral:rRNA from 1 species
GAUUAUGGCUCAGGACGAACGCUGGCGGCGUGCCUAACACAUGCAAGUCGAGCGGGGACAUACGACGGAUCGGAAGUUUCGGAUGGAAGAGAAGAUGUAUGUUCUAGCGGCGGACGGGUGAGUAACGCGUGAGCAACCUGUCCUUCACAGGGGGAUAACACAGCGAAAGUUGUACUAAUACCGCAUGAGACCACAUUGGGACAUCCCAGAGGGGUCAAAGGAGCAAUCCGGUGAAGGGUGGGCUCGCGUCCGAUUAGAUAGUUGGUGAGGUAACGGCCCACCAAGUCGACGAUCGGUAGCCGACCUGAGAGGGUGAUCGGCCACAUUGGGACUGAGACACGGCCCAAACUCCUACGGGAGGCAGCAGUGGGGAAUAUUGGGCAAUGGGGGGAAACCCUGACCCAGCAACGCCGCGUGAGGGAAGAAGGUUUUCGGAUCGUAAACCUCUGUCCUUGGUGAAGAGUGAGAGACGGUAGCCAAGGAGGAAGCCCCGGCUAACUACGUGCCAGCCGCCGC